UACGGAGGAUGCAAGCGUUAUCCGGAUUUAUUGGGCGUAAAGAGCGCGCAGGCGGUCGAUCAAGUCGAGUGUGAAAGCCCCCGGCUCAACUGGGGAGGGUCAUUCGAUACUGAUCGACUCGAAGGCAGGAGAGGGUAGUGGAAUUCCCGGUGUAGUGGUGAAAUGCGUAGAUAUCGGGAGGAACACCAGUGGCGAAGGCGACUACCUGGCCUGUUCUUGACGCUGAGGCGCGAAAGCUAGGGGAGCAAACGGG
rnacentral:rRNA from 1 species